UGUUUAUAGAAUGACGAUUUGAUUGAAUAUAAAAUACAACUUUCAACAACGGAUCUCUUGGCUCUCGCAUCGAUGAAGAACGCAGCGAAAUGCGAUAAGUAAUGUGAAUUGCAGAAUUCAGUGAAUCAUCGAAUCUUUGAACGCACCUUGCGCUCCUUGGCAUUCCGAGGAGCAUGCCUGUUUGAGUGUCAUUAACAUCUCAAGACCUGUCUGCUUUUGAUAGGUAUUGGAUUUUGGGAGUUGCAGGCUGUUUCAGAUAUAGCUUGCUCUCCUUGAAUGUAUUAGUGGAGAAAAGCUGUUGAACUCCAUUGGUGUGAUAAAAUCUAUCAAUGCCAGGAGCAACGUCGAGUUGUCUCUGCUGUCUAACCCUAACUGUCUGACCCACUUGACCUCAAAUCAGGUAGGACUACCCGCUGAACUUAAGCAUAUCAAUAAGCGGAGGAAAAGAAACUAACAAGGAUUCCCCUAGUAACUGCGAGUGAAGCGGGAAAAGCUCAAAUUUAAAAUCUGGCAGA
rnacentral:rRNA from 1 species